AGCAGCCGCGGUAAUUCCAGCUCCAAUAGCGUAUAUUAAAGUUGUUGCAGUUAAAAAGCUCGUAGUUGAAUUUCGGGAUCAGUUGAUCGGUCGUGCCUCGGUACGUACUGGUCAAAUUGAUUCCUACCUUCUGACGAACCACGAUGUCAUUAAUUUGGUGUCGCGGGAAAUCAGGACUGUUACUUUGAAAAAAUUAGAGUGUUUAAAGCAGGCUCGCGCUUGAAUACAUUAGCAUGGAAUAAUGAAAUAGGACGUUUGAUUCUAUUUUGUUGGUUUCUAGGAUCGACGUAAUGAUUAAUAGGGAUAGUUGGGGGCAUUAGUAUUCAAUUGUCAGAGGUGAAAUUCUUGGAUUUAUUGAAGACUAACUACUGCGAAAGCAUUUGCCAAGGAUGUUUUCAUUAAUCAAGAACGAAAGUUAGGGGAUCGAAGACGAUCAGAUACCGUCGUAGUCUUAACCAUAAACUACGCCGACUAGGGAUCGGAUGAUGUUAAUUUUUAAUGACU
rnacentral:rRNA from 1 species